rnacentral:rRNA from 1 species
GACGAACCGUGCGAACGUUGUUCGGAUUCACUGGGCUUAAAGGGCGCGUAGACGGGUCGGCGCGUCGGUCGCUGAAAUCCCCCGGCUCAACCGGGGAACGGGCGCCGAGAUGGCCGUCCUCGAGUGGAGGAGAGGGACCUGGAACUGCCGGUGGAGCGGUGAAAUGCGUUGAGAUCGGCAGGAACUCCGAUGGCGAAAGCAAGGUCCUGGACUCCCACUGACGUUGAGGCGCGAAAGCCAGGGGAGCGAACGGG